rnacentral:rRNA from 1 species
AUUGAACGCUGGCGGCAGGCUUAACACAUGCAAGUCGAGCGGAGAGAGGUAGCUUGCUACUGAUCUUAGCGGCGGACGGGUGAGUAAUGCUUAGGAAUCUGCCUAUUAGUGGGGGACAACAUUUCGAAAGGAAUGCUAAUACCGCAUACGUCCUACGGGAGAAAGCAGGGGAUCUUCGGACCUUGCGCUAAUAGAUGAGCCUAAGUCGGAUUAGCUAGUUGGUGGGGUAAAGGCCUACCAAGGCGACGAUCUGUAGCGGGUCUGAGAGGAGGAUCCGCCACACUGGGACUGAGACACGGCCCAGACUCCUACGGGAGGCAGCAGUGGGGAAUAUUGGACAAUGGGCGCAAGCCUGAUCCAGCCAUGCCGCGUGUGUGAAGAAGGCCUUAUGGUUGUAAAGCACUUUAAGCGAGGAGGUGGCUACUUUAGAUAAUACCUAGAGAUAGUGGACGUUACUCGCAGAAUAAGCACCGGCUAACUCUGUGCCAGCCGCCGCAGUAA